rnacentral:rRNA from 1 species
UACGUAGGGCGCGAGCGUUAUCCGGAAUUAUUGGGCGUAAAGAGCUCGUAGGCGGUUUGUCGCGUCUGCUGUGAAAACUGGAGGCUCAACCUCCAGCCUGCAGUGGGUACGGGCAGACUCGAGUGCGGUAGGGGAGAUUGGAAUUCCUGGUGUAGCGGUGGAAUGCGCAGAUAUCAGGAGGAACACCGAUGGCGAAGGCAGAUCUCUGGGCCGUAACUGACGCUGAGGAGCGAAAGCAUGGGGAGCGAACAGG